GCUAGUUGGUUGCCGGCGGCCGCGGUAAUAGGAAGGGGGGUAGAGUUGGUCGGAAUUACUGGGCGUAAAGCGCACGUAGGCGGCUUCGUAAGUCGGUGGUGAAAUCCUGGAGCUCAUCUCCAGAACUGCCUUCGAGACUGGGAAGCUUGAGUUCGGGAGAGGUGAGUGGAACUGCGAGUGUAGAGGUGAAAUUCGUAGAUAUUCGCAAGAACACCAGUGGCGAAGGCGGCUCACUGGCCCGAUACUGACGCUGAGGUGCGAAAGCGUGGGGAGCAAACAGGAUUAGAUACCCCUGUAGUC
rnacentral:rRNA from 1 species